GAUGAACGCUGGCGGCGUGCUUAACACAUGCAAGUCGAACGGGAUCCCGGGGGUUCGCUUCCGGGUGAGAGUGGCGAACGGGUGAGUAAUGCGUGACCGACCUGCCCCAUACACCGGAAUAGCUCCUGGAAACGGGUGGUAAUGCCGGAUGCUCCGGUUGGAUGCAUGUCCUUCCGGGAAAGAUUCUAUCGGUAUGGGAUGGGGUCGCGUCCUAUCAGCUUGAUGGCGGGGUAACGGCCCACCAUGGCUUCGACGGGUAGCCGGCCUGAGAGGGCGACCGGCCACAUUGGGACUGGGAUACGGCCCAGACUCCUACGGGAGGCAGCAGUGGGGAAUAUUGCACAAUGGGCGCAAGCCUGAUGCAGCGACGCCGCGUGCGGGAUGGAGGCCUUCGGGUUGUAAACCGCUUUUGAUCGGGAGCAAGCCCUUCGGGGUGAG
rnacentral:rRNA from 1 species